rnacentral:rRNA from 1 species
AUUGAACGCUGGCGGCAGGCCUAACACAUGCAAGUCGAGCGGAUGAAGGGAGCUUGCUCCUGGAUUCAGCGGCGGACGGGUGAGUAAUGCCUAGGAAUCUGCCUGGUAGUGGGGGAUAACGUCCGGAAACGGGCGCUAAUACCGCAUACGUCCUGAGGGAGAAAGUGGGGGAUCUUCGGACCUCACGCUAUCAGAUGAGCCUAGGUCGGAUUAGCUAGUUGGUGGGGUAAAGGCCUACCAAGGCGACGAUCCGUAACUGGUCUGAGAGGAUGAUCAGUCACACUGGAACUGAGGCACGGUCCAGACUCCUACGGGAGGCAGCAGUGGGGAAUAUUGGACAAUGGGCGAAAGCCUGAUCCAGCCAGGCCGCGUGUGUGAAGAAGGUCUUCGGAUUGUAAAGCACUUUAAGUUGGGAGGAAGGGCAGUAAGUUAAUACCUUGCUGUUUUGACGUUACCAACAGAAUAAGCACCGGCUAACUUCGUG